UACAGCCAUAUCAUGUUUAAACAUUGGUUCCCAUAUGAUCACUGAAGUUAAGCAACAUUGAGCAUGGUCAGUACCUAGAUGGGUGACCACUUGGGAAUAUCUGGUGCUGUAAG